GAUGAACGCUGGCGGCGUGCUUAACACAUGCAAGUCGAACGGAAAGGCUCCUGCUUGCAGGGGUACUCGAGUGGCGAACGGGUGAGUAACACGUGGGUGAUCUGCCCUGCACUUCGGGAUAAGCCUGGGAAACUGGGUCUAAUACCGGAUAGGACGAUGGUUUGGAUGCCAUUGUGGAAAGUUUUUCGGUGUGGGAUGAGCUCGCGGCCUAUCAGCUUGUUGGUGGGGUAAUGGCCUACCAAGGCGUCGUCGGGUAGCCGGCCUGAGAGGGUGUACGGCCACAUUGGGACUGAGAUACGGCCCAGACUCCUACGGGAGGCAGCAGUGGGGAAUAUUGCACAAUGGGCGCAAGCCUGAUGCAGCGACGCCGCGUGGGGGAUGACGGCCUUCGGGUUGUAAACUCCUUUCGCUAGGGACGAAGCGCAAGUGACGGUACCUGGAGAAGAAGCACCGGCUAACUACGUG
rnacentral:rRNA from 1 species